GCCCCUGCUUCUAACUCAGCAAAAACCCAAUCCCCCAGGUUGUCAGGAACAACCCUUGUGGCAUUCUUGUAGCACAGUAAAGGUGUUCAUUUAAACCUGAAUAAAGCCUUGUGUCAUUAAACCACACAAAACAUCUAUUGUCAUACAGGAGGCCUCUAACUGAUACUACCCAUUUGAAGAUCUGUGGAGGAAAAAAUUUCACACACCGCAGUUGAGAGGACCUUUGCUUCCUUAAAAUAUUACCAGUGACCAGAAAACAAAACAGCAAAUAAAGGUUUACACAUAUGGUGUCAUAAAUGGGACCUGCAAAGUUUACAAUUGGAAGGAAUUGGUGAUUCUUGGAGCAUGCAUGCAGUCUUCACUUUAUACCCUUUAGCGCUCUGCUUCUAUAAGUCACCCUUUCUGCCCUGAGGCAGUGGAAAUUGCAUCUUCAGAAGAUCGACAUGUGGAUGGAGAGAUUGAAG
rnacentral:lncRNA from 1 species